rnacentral:rRNA from 1 species
AACGAACGCUGGCGGCAUGCCUAACACAUGCAAGUCGAACGAGACCUUCGGGUCUAGUGGCGCACGGGUGCGUAACGCGUGGUAACCUGCCCUUAGGUUCGGAAUAACUCCCCGAAAGGGGUGCUAAUACCGGAUAAUGUCUUCGGACCAAAGAUUUAUCGCCUUUGGAUGGGCCCGCGUUGGAUUAGCUAGUUGGUAGGGUAAAAGCCUACCAAGGCGACGAUCCAUAGCUGGUCUGAGAGGAUGAUCAGCCACACUGGGACUGAGACACGGCCCAGACUCCUCCGGGAGGCAGCAGUGGGGAAUAUUGGACAAUGGGCGAAAGCCUGAUCCAGCAAUGCCGCGUGAGUGAUGAAGGCCUUAGGGUUGUAAAGCUCUUUUACCCGGGAUGAUAAUGACAGUACCGGGAGAAUAAGCUCCGGCUAACUCCGU